rnacentral:rRNA from 1 species
CCAUUCCGCGUGAGUGAAGAAGGCCUUCGGGUUGUAAAGCUCUUUCGGCAGGAACGAAACGCUCUGGACUAAUACUCUGGGGUAAUGACGGUACCUGAAGAAGAAGCACCGGCUAACUACGUGCCAGCAGCCGCGGUAAUACGUAGGGUGCGAGCGUUAAUCGGAAUUACUGGGCGUAAAGCGUGCGCAGGCGGUUAUGUAAGACAGGUGUGAAAUCCCCGGGCUUAACCUGGGAACUGCGCUUGUGACUGCAUAACUUGAGUGUGGCAGAGGGGGGUGGAAUUCCACGUGUAGCAGUGAAAUGCGUAGAGAUGUGGAGGAACACCGAUGGCGAAGCAGCCCCCUGGGUCAACACUGACGCUCAUGCACGAAACGUGGGUACAAACAGGAUUAGAUACCUGGUAAUCCACGCCCUAAACGAUGCGAACUAGUGUUGGGGAA